GAAAUGCGAUAAGUAAUGUGAAUUGCAGAAUUCCGUGAAUCAUCGAAUCUUUGAACGCACAUUGCGCCCUCUGGUAUUCCGGGGGGCAUGCCUGUCCGAGCGUCAUUGCGAACCCCUCAAGCACGGCUUGUGUGAUGGGCCCUCCCGCGUCUUGGUCGUCAAGACGGGCCCGAAAUGCAGUGGCGGCUUCGCGGUUAUCCGAUCAGCCAGAGCGUAUGGGGACUUUCUCUCUGUCACACGCCCGCGGCGCGGACCGACGCCUGUCGACCUUCAUUCAUCGUUUUCUCGGUUGACCUCGGAUCAGGUAGGGAUAUCCGCUGAACUUAGGC
rnacentral:misc_RNA from 1 species